rnacentral:pre_miRNA from 1 species
CAAGUACUCCCUCUGUCCGAAAAUACUUGUCAUCAAAAUGGAUAAAAAAGAUGUAUCUAGAACUAAUAUACAUUUAGAUACAUCCCCUUUUAUUCAUUUUGAUGACAAGUAUUUCCGGAUGGAGGGACUACUAC